AAGUCGUAACAAGGUUUCCGUAGGUGAACCUGCGGAAGGAUCAUUACAUUCAGUAGCCUAGCUACUUGUUUAUACCCUUGUUUUUUGCGUACCUAUUGUUUCCUCGGCGGGGCUUGCUCGCCGUUUGGACAAAAUCUAUAACCUUUUUGAAUCUUCAAUCAGCGUCUGAAUUAUACAUAAUAAUUACAACUUUCAACAACGGAUCUCUUGGUUCUG
rnacentral:misc_RNA from 1 species